GCAUAUCAAUAAGCGGAGGAAAAGAAACCAACAGGGAUUACCUCAGUAACGGCGAGUGAAGCGGUAACAGCUCAAAUUUGAAAUCUGGCCUCACGGUCCGAAUUGUAAUUUGUAGAGGAUGUUUCGAGCAUGGUCUGGCCUAAGUUCCUUGGAACAGGACGUCAUAGAGGGUGAGAAUCCCGUAUGCGGUCAGGUGCCUACGCUCAUGUGAAACUCCUUCGACGAGUCGAGUUGUUUGGGAAUGCAGCUCAAAAUGGGUGGUAAAUUUCAUCUAAAGCUAAAUAUUGGCCAGAGACCGAUAGCGCACAAGUAGAGUGAUCGAAAGAUGAAAAGCACUUUGGAAAGAGAGUUAAACAGUACGUGAAAUUGUUGAAAGGGAAGCGCUUGCAACCAGACUUGCACGCAGCUAAUCAUCCGGUGUUCUCACCGGUGCACUUGGUUGCGUUCAGGCCAGCAUCGGUUUCGGCGGUGGGAUAAAGGCCUUAGGAAUGUAGCUGCUCUCGGGCAGUGUUAUAGCCUAGGGUGCAAUGCCGCCUGCUGGGACCGAGGACCGCGCUUCGGCUAGGAUGCUGGCGUAAUGGUUGUAAGCGGCCCGUCUUGAAACACGGACCAAGGAGUCUAACAUCUAUGCGAGUGUUUGGGUGUCAAACCCAUACGCGUAAUGAAAGUGAACGGAGGUGAGAACCCUUAAGGGUGCAUCAUCGACCGAUCCUGAUGUCUUCGGAUGGAUUUGAGUAAGAGCAUAGCUGUUGGGACCCGAAAGAUGGUGAACUAUGCCUGAAUAGGGUGAAGCCAGAGGAAACUCUGGUGGAGGCUCGCAGCGGUUCUGACGUGCAAAUCGAUCGUCAAAUUUGGGGUAUAGGGGGCGAAAGACUAAUCGAACCAUCUAGUAGCUGGUUCCUGCGA
rnacentral:rRNA from 1 species